CCGCGCGCNCGAGGUGNUAACGCGUAUGCAACCUGCCCGUUUCAGCGGGAUAACCCGGAGAAAUCCGGCCUAAUACCGCAUGUGGCCGAGGGGAGGCAUCUUCUUUCGGCCAAAGGAGGCGACUCCGGAGACGGAUGGGCAUGCGUGACAUUAGCUUGUUGGCGGGGUAACGGCCCACCAAGGCGACGAUGUCUAGGGGUUCUGAGAGGAAGGUCCCCCACACUGGUACUGAGACACGGACCAGACUCCUACGGGAGGCAGCAG
rnacentral:rRNA from 1 species